AAAUCCCUGCGGUGCGCGUUGGAAAUUUGAUAAUUAUUGAACCAACAAAUUUAUCAAGGGAGCCUAUGAUUCCUGCACGCUUUGGCGUUCCGGAGAGGGCACCCACCUGAAACCAAAUGGUUCAGAUGUCAUUCCAACGGCACAGCGGGGAUUUU
rnacentral:other from 1 species